CUUAGAAUUUUCAUCGUUAUUCAUAUUUUCUCUUACAGAUAAACAUUUUGUUGAAGUUGAAUCCGAGAGUUUCAAGAAAUUAAUGCAAGUAUGUUAUCUCAAUGCAUCAAAAUCAAGCGACGAUGCUGCUAAUCAAAUAUCUUUCACAGCAAAAACAUUACAGAAUGACAAACAUGAGAGGUGAUGCUCCUCUUAGCCUUCUGCAUAAAAGCAGAAUUCAUGCAUGGCGACGGCAAAAACGUUAAUUGGAAUUCUUCAUACAGAACAGCAUCUUCCUACUAAGUUAGAAACUCGUGACUGAAUUCUAAUGCCGAGUGAUUUAUAACAAAGUUUGGGCAGUCUAAUUCCCUUCCUUCUGAAUAAACUAGUGUUUUCUUUGUUAGCUUUUUAUUUCCAGAAAAUUUCUCAGGUUUCUGAAUAAACUUGGUUGAGCCAGCUAUCUUAAACCUGUAAUAUCACAAUUUACCUAAUUCAGCAUCUCAAUGCUAAGUUAAUGUUGUUCAUGUUAGCCUUUUUAACAUUUUACGCAUCUCAAUGUUAUAUUAAUAUGUUCAUGUUAGUCUUUGGUGAGGAUAGUAAAUGUAUUACGUUCUAUAUGUAAAUUCAUUGGAUAUCCAUAUGCCACACAAUUCACUGUAUUCUGUCUGA